rnacentral:rRNA from 1 species
ACGAACGCUGGUGGCGUGCUUAACACAUGCAAGUCGAACGGAAAGGCCCUGCUUUUGUGGGGUGCUCGAGUGGCGAACGGGUGAGUAACACGUGAGUAACCUGCCCUUGACUUUGGGAUAACUUCAGGAAACUGGGGCUAAUACCGGAUAGGAGCUCCUGCUGCAUGGUGGGGGUUGGAAAGUUUCGGCGGUUGGGGAUGGACUCGCGGCUUAUCAGCUUGUUGGUGGGGUAGUGGCUUACCAAGGCUUUGACGGGUAGCCGGCCUGAGAGGGUGACCGGCCACAUUGGGACUGAGAUACGGCCCAGACUCCUACGGGAGGCAGCAGUGGGGAAUAUUGCACAAUGGGCGGAAGCCUGAUGCAGCAACGCCGCGUGCGGGAUGACGGCCUUCGGGUUGUAAACCGCUUUCGCCUGUGACGAAGCGUGAGUGACGGUAAUGGGUAAAGAAGCACCGGCUAACUACGUG